UCCAAGUCCUUUGUUUUUCUUUAACUUGAUAUACAAGAGCUGCGCAGUGGUCUGGAAGGGCCGCAAGCAGCUACCUCGGCCUUGUCAUUCGUGGGACUCGGUGGCUUUCAAGCACUAUGGCUUCCAGGGUAUUCCAGUCACUUUUCAGGAUAUUCAUACUAGACAAAUAAGAUUGAAGAACUUGAAAUGGGGACCAGUAUUUAAAAAGAAGUUGCAAGUCGUCCUGACUUUUGUCUUGCUACUGGACUCCAUGACUCCAGAAGAGAGAGUGAGGCUGAAGACUUUGUGCUGCUUGUCUCACUUAAAUCCAGUUCGCUCAAGAUUCGAGUUAUAAUCCCCUGAUGUCAUUGGUCCUCUUCACAAAGGAAGGAGGAACCUGCUUCUGACUGUACUUUCACAUCUCCUCAUGAGCGGUCUUCUCAACCUAGAAGUGCCUCUAUCCCUGCUGCCUUCUCCUCUGAAGGGAGUAAGGUGAAGUAAAGCUACAAAGAGGGUACCUUGUGCACACUACUUCUGGAGGAAAUCAUGCAGCUCUAAUUCCAUGGAGUUUCAGUUGACUUCUUACAAGCCAUUUAAUAAUGUGUACAAACUCCCACAACCUGACUGGAAUUUUAAUUUCGUUCUCAACAUCCCCAACAUAUGGAUGUUGUGACUAUUCGAACUCAGUGGCGAUUUGUUUGCCCAAGUAGAACGUGCUUGUGCAAGAGACAGUUGGCAAGGGCAGACAUUUUAGAAGAGAAGUUAGACAGGGAGAAAGAACGGUAGUGGUCAGGUGUAAGCCAUCACAUCGUAUUCAUCCUCCUUCUGUCAUUUGCCUUUGGAAGGACUUGAAUAUCUUUCAGCACUAUUUCCUUUUGAAGACACCCAGCAGAGUGUUCAAGUGCUAAAAGGACAUGAAUGGAUCAAUUCCUAGACUUGAUUUCAAGUGAGGGAGAAGAUUGUUAACAGAGCCAAGUCACCUUGUGGUUCCUGCAUUCGUCAGCACAGUUUGUAUGAGCUAAACUUCUGGGAAGUAAAUUCCUUUUGCACAACUCCCAGCUAGGAGCCACUAAGAACUGAACUUGUAGGUUUUUGCUUUCAGAGUUCUGGGGAGUUUGGAAUGUGGACCAAAGCAAGUUAUUAUCUGGGAAGUAUGCAGUGGGUGCCUUGAUAUUAAUAUGUUUUGCUUUCCUUUAUUAUUUUGAUUAAGUACUUUAUAAAGUAAUUGCACCAAUAAUGGCAAUUUAGUGAGUAACACCUCAAAGGAAAGAAUGUGAAAUGGCUCAAUAGUUGGGAGACAGUGUGAAUCAAGUUGUUUUACUAAUGGUGCCAUAAACCUUUAGAAUAAUUAGAAUGUAAACUCUAAAGGCAGAAAUUGUUUUAUUUCUGUCUUUGUAUUCCUAGUGAUUAAUAGAGUUCCUGGCACAAAGUAAACAUGCAAUGCAAGCUGGUUUAUAUAUUUGUGGAUGUCAGAAUCUGGCACCAGUCACCUAAUUGCCAUUUUAGAUUAAGCCCUCAUCUCAUCUUCCUUAGAAUAACUUAAUCUUAAUUUUUCCAUGUUUCCAGUCUUUCCUCUUUCCAAUCUGUUAUCCAUGUAGCUGCCAAAAUAAUCUCGUAUGGCACAGUUCUUCUAUCUGGGAUGAAGGAGUUUCCACAAUGUGCAACAGAAAAGGAGAGCAGCAGAAGAGAAAAGACUCAUUCUAGUGUAGAAUUAAACUAGAUGGGGGGCUAGGGUAUAUUAAAAGGUGGCAGGGGGCAGCUCUGAAUCACAGGGAUUAAGGGGCAGAAGGUACACCUGUUAUUUUAAGACUUAGGUAAAUGCCAAUUGAGAAUCCUAGUGCUGGUUCUGAUAUUGGUGCUGUUACUCUCCAAACCCUGGGAAAGUUGGGGAGAGGAUGAUAGAGGUGGAAGGAGUUUGGACCAGGACUGAAGUCAGUAAAGAGCCUGGAGAUUGUUUUCAAAGGUAGGCAAAAAUCCAAUUCCUUUUGAAUUUUCAGCCCAAGAUAAGCAGAAGUUUUUAAAUACCCAGAACUUUUUCACACAUGGGGCAUAAACUUUGCCCUGCAUUGGGCCAUGGACUUUUCAAAAUUCAGUAUGGUAUCUGAGUUUUGAGGUUCAGGUUGAGUCUACAUUAGGCGUUGUCCACGCGAGGCUUAGCUAUUUCAGUGUGACAGGUGUGGCUGGCACCUGCUAGAAUUGGAUGACAUGAAUAGUGGUAAUGAUCUAUCCAGCCCUUUCUCAUUCUCCUGUUUUCUUUUAUAGACUACAGUGGGCUGCCAUAUAAUUGAUUUGUCAAUAAUUUCACCAGCUAAGGGGGUGUAGUAUGCUGUGUGGCUGUAAGUGGUAUUCUAGCCAUUUGAGCAUUCUCUUUCCCCUAAUUUACCACUGUCUUCUCUCCCUAUCCUGGUAACUAGAAGUCUAAUACUGUGAUCUAGAACAGAGAUGACAAACUUUGCAGAGUGGUCUGAACCAGAUUAAAAUGUAAUUGUGAAAUAUUUAACAAAAUAAAUGAAAAUACA